GGUUAAGCGACUAAGCGUACACGGUGGAUGCCCUGGCAGUCAGAGGCGAUGAAGGACGUGCUAAUCUGCGAAAAGCGUCGGUAAGGUGAUAUGAACCGUUACAGCCGGCGAUGUCCGAAUGGGGAAACCCAGUGCAAUUCGUUGCACUAUCGUUAACUGAAUACAUAGGUUAACGAGGCGAACCGGGGGAACUGAAACAUCUAAGUACCCCGAGGAAAAGAAAUCAACCGAGAUUCCCCCAGUAGCGGCGAGCGAACGGGGAGCAGCCCAGAGUCUGAAUCAGCUUGUGUGUUAGUGGAACGGUCUGGAAAGUCCGACGGUACAGGGUGAUAGUCCCGUACACCAAAAUGCACAGGCUGUGAACUCGAAGAGUAGGGCGGGACACGUGGUAUCCUGUCUGAAUAUGGGGGGACCAUCCUCCAAGGCUAAAUACUCCUGACUGACCGAUAGUGAACCAGUACCGUGAGGGAAAGGCGAAAAGAACCCCGGCGAGGGGAGUGAAAAAGAACCUGAAACCGUGUACGUACAAGCAGUGGGAGCACCUUCGGGUGUGACUGCGUACCUUUUGUAUAAUGGGUCAGCGACUUAUAUUCUGUAGCAAGGUUAACCGUAUAGGGGAGCCGCAGGGAAACCGAGUCUUAACUGGGCGUUAAGUUGCAGGGUAUAGACCCGAAACCCGGUGAUCUAGCCAUGGGCAGGUUGAAGGUUGGGUAACACUAACUGGAGGACCGAACCGACUAAUGUUGAAAAAUUAGCGGAUGACUUGUGGCUGGGGGUGAAAGGCCAAUCAAACCGGGAGAUAGCUGGUUCUCCCCGAAAGCUAUUUAGGUAGCGCCUCGUGAAUUCAUCUUCGGGGGUAGAGCACUGUUUCGGCUAGGGGGUCAUCCCGACUUACCAACCCGAUGCAAACUACGAAUACCGAAGAAUGUUAUCACGGGAGACACACGGCGGGUGCUAACGUCCGUCGUGAAGAGGGAAACAACCCAGACCGCCAGCUAAGGUCCCAAAGUCAUGGUUAAGUGGGAAACGAUGUGGGAAGGCACAGACAGCCAGGAUGUUGGCUUAGAAGCAGCCAUCAUUUAAAGAAAGCGUAAUAGCUCACUGGUCGAGUCGGCCUGCGCGGAAGAUGUAACGGGGCUAAACCAUGCACCGAAGCUGCGGCAGCGACACUAUGUGUUGUUGGGUAGGGGAGCGUUCUGUAAGCCUGCGAAGGUGUGCUGUGAGGCAUGCUGGAGGUAUCAGAAGUGCGAAUGCUGACAUAAGUAACGAUAAAGCGGGUGAAAAGCCCGCUCGCCGGAAGACCAAGGGUUCCUGUCCAACGUUAAUCGGGGCAGGGUGAGUCGACCCCUAAGGCGAGGCCGAAAGGCGUAGUCGAUGGGAAACAGGUUAAUAUUCCUGUACUUGGUGUUACUGCGAAGGGGGGACGGAGAAGGCUAUGUUAGCCGGGCGACGGUUGUCCCGGUUUAAGCAUGUAGGCUGGUUGUCCAGGCAAAUCCGGAUAAUCAAGGCUGAGGUGUGAUGACGAGGCACUACGGUGCUGAAGUAACAAAUGCCCUGCUUCCAGGAAAAGCCUCUAAGCAUCAGGUAACAUUAAAUCGUACCCCAAACCGACACAGGUGGUCAGGUAGAGAAUACCAAGGCGCUUGAGAGAACUCGGGUGAAGGAACUAGGCAAAAUGGUGCCGUAACUUCGGGAGAAGGCACGCUGGUGUGUAGGUGAAGUCCCUGCGGAUGGAGCUGAGACCAGUCGAAGAUACCAGCUGGCUGCAACUGUUUAUUAAAAACACAGCACUGUGCAAACACGAAAGUGGACGUAUACGGUGUGACGCCUGCCCGGUGCCGGAAGGUUAAUUGAUGGGGUUAUCCGUAAGGAGAAGCUCUUGAUCGAAGCCCCGGUAAACGGCGGCCGUAACUAUAACGGUCCUAAGGUAGCGAAAUUCCUUGUCGGGUAAGUUCCGACCUGCACGAAUGGCGUAAUGAUGGCCAGGCUGUCUCCACCCGAGACUCAGUGAAAUUGAACUCGCUGUGAAGAUGCAGUGUACCCGCGGCAAGACGGAAAGACCCCGUGAACCUUUACUAUAGCUUGACACUGAACAUUGAGCCUUGAUGUGUAGGAUAGGUGGGAGGCUUUGAAGCGUGGACGCCAGUCUGCGUGGAGCCAACCUUGAAAUACCACCCUUUAAUGUUUGAUGUUCUAACGUUGGCCCCUGACCGGGGUUGCGGACAGUGUCUGGUGGGUAGUUUGACUGGGGCGGUCUCCUCCCAAAGCGUAACGGAGGAGCACGAAGGUUAGCUAAUCCUGGUCGGACAUCAGGAGGUUAGUGCAAUGGCAUAAGCUAGCUUGACUGCGAGCGUGACGGCGCGAGCAGGUGCGAAAGCAGGUCAUAGUGAUCCGGUGGUUCUGAAUGGAAGGGCCAUCGCUCAACGGAUAAAAGGUACUCCGGGGAUAACAGGCUGAUACCGCCCAAGAGUUCAUAUCGACGGCGGUGUUUGGCACCUCGAUGUCGGCUCAUCACAUCCUGGGGCUGAAGUAGGUCCCAAGGGUAUGGCUGUUCGCCAUUUAAAGUGGUACGCGAGCUGGGUUUAGAACGUCGUGAGACAGUUCGGUCCCUAUCUGCCGUGGGCGCUGGAGAAUUGAGGGGGGCUGCUCCUAGUACGAGAGGACCGGAGUGGACGCAUCACUGGUGUUCGGGUUGUCAUGCCAAUGGCACUGCCCGGUAGCUAAAUGCGGAAGAGAUAAGUGCUGAAAGCAUCUAAGCACGAAACUUGCCCCGAGAUGAGUUCUCCCUGAGACUUUAAGUCUCCUGAAGGAACGUUGAAGACGACGACGUUGAUAGGCCGGGUGUGUAAGCGCAGCGAUGCGUUGAGCUAACCGGUACUAAUGAACCGUGAGGCUUAACCUU
rnacentral:rRNA from 1 species